rnacentral:sRNA from 1 species
UGUAAAUAUUUAAACUGUACAACAUGACGUUUUGAUAUACAUAUGCAUUGGAAAAUAAUCACCAUCAAGCUAAUUAACGUAUUCAUCCCAACAUUUCUUAGUUAACUUCGUGUGUGUGUGUGUGUGUGUGUGUGUGAGAGAGUGUGUGUUUUGAGAAUACUUAGAAUCUACUCUCAGCAAACUUCAG